GAGUUUGAUCCUGGCUCAGAUUGAACGCUGGCGGCAGGCCUAACACAUGCAAGUCGAACGGUAACAGAAAGCAGCUUGCUGCUUUGCUGACGAGUGGCGGACGGGUGAGUAAUGUCUGGGAAACUGCCUGAUGGAGGGGGAUAACUACUGGAAACGGUAGCUAAUACCGCAUAACGUCGCAAGACCAAAGAGGGGGACCUUCGGGCCUCUUGCCAUCGGAUGUGCCCAGAUGGGAUUAGCUUGUUGGUGGGGUAACGGCUCACCAAGGCGACGAUCUCUAGCUGGUCUGAGAGGAUGACCAGCCACACUGGAACUGAGACACGGUCCAGACUCCUACGGGAGGCAGCAGUGGGGAAUAUUGCACAAUGGGCGCAAGCCUGAUGCAGCCAUGCCGCGUGUAUGAAGAAGGCCUUCGGGUUGUAAAGUACUUUCAGCGGGGAGGAAGGGAGUAAAGUUAAUACCUUUGCUCAUUGACGUUACCCGCAGAAGAAGCA
rnacentral:rRNA from 1 species